AUCCUGUGCAUCUGUAGCAACCUUUUUUCUUAGUUACUUUAGCUUGUGGAUAACAGUGUACUGGAUCAUUACGAACCAGCAUAUCCCUCAAACUCUUAUUCCGUCGAUAACUAAUAACUGGUGGAUUUUGGAAAAUUGGUGAUAAAUACUUGUCUGCCUUUAGUAUAUCCCAGUGUUUGUAUACAGUGUUCUUGAUUUGUACAGUAUUAGUAUGAAAAGUAAGUGGAAGAAAUAUGCGUUCUGUUGAUUGAUCACUAAUGUUAUCAGAGGUUU